rnacentral:rRNA from 1 species
CGGUAUUUAAGAGUCUAGCCUGCCCAGUGACAAAGUUAAACGGCCGCGGUACCCUAACCGUGCAAAGGUAGCGCAAUCACUUGUUCUUUAAAUGAGGACUAGUAUGAACGGCAUCACGAGGGUUAUGCUGUCUCCCUACUUUAUUCAGUGAAACUGAUCUCCCCGUGAAGAGGCGGGGAUAAAAAUAUAAGACGAGAAGACCCCAUGGAGCUUUAAACUCAGUAUCAACUGCCAUAUUUAAAACCUGAUAUUCAAGCAAUUUCUGACUACUAGUUUUCGGUUGGGGUGACCACGGAGUAAAACCUAACCUCCACGAUGAAAGGAAAUAAUAACCUAAAUUAAGAGCUACAGCUCUAAAUAUCAAUAAAUUGACUCAUUGAUCCAAUUAAUUGAUCAACGAACCAAGUUACCCUGGGGAUAACAGCGCAAUCCAUUUCAAGAGCUCCUAUCGACAAAUGGGUUUACGACCUCGAUGUUGGAUCAGGAUAUCCCAGUGGCGCAGCCGCUACUAACGGUUCGUUUGUUCAACGAUUAAAACCCUACGUGAUCUGGUUU